rnacentral:rRNA from 1 species
UCUCUCUGAAUCUGCGUACGGCUCCGCAAACCAGUUGUAAACUAUAGCAAGCAUGCUCGGGAUUUGGCCCUCACGGGUUGGGUUUCGGGUGAUAAGGAUAACCCUGGUAAUUCUGAGGCUAAUACUAGAACGCAAAAACUUGUCUGACCGGUUUUACUGGGAGGUUGGGGGGCGUGCAAGUGGGUUUCGCAUAGGAUAACCGGGAAGGGGUGCACGUUUGGACCGCGAUAAAGACAGACUGGUUUCGGCCGGCCUGAGCGGCACUUGCGUUGUGCUUCUGACCUAUCAACUAGAUGGCAGCGUAACGGACAUGCUAUGGUUGCAACGGGUACAGAGGAUUAGGGUUCGAUCCUGGAGAGUGGGCCUGAGAGAUUGAGC